GGCAGUGUAGCUUAGUGGUAAGGAUCAGGGCUCAUAACCGAAAGGUUGCCGGUUCGAUUCCCUACAGGGGCA
rnacentral:tRNA from 1 species